CAGUCGCCGCGGGAAUACAGAGGGUGCGAGCGUUAAUCGGAUUUACUGGGCGUAAAGCGUGCGUAGGCGGCUUCUUAAGUCGGAUGUGAAAUCCCUGAGCUUAACUUAGGAAUUGCAUUCGAUACUGGGAAGCUAGAGUAUGGGAGAGGAUGGUAGAAUUCCAGGUGUAGCGGUGAAAUGCGUAGAGAUCUGGAGGAAUACCGAUGGCGAAGGCAGCCAUCUGGCCUAAUACUGACGCUGAGGUACGAAAGCAUGGGGAGCAAACAGGAUUAGAUACCCCUGUAGUCCCUGUCUCUUAACA
rnacentral:rRNA from 1 species